rfam:Pichia angusta strain DL-1 mitochondrion, complete genome.
AAGUCUAUAAUUUAACGGGUUAAAAUACCUCCUUGAUAAGGUGGCAAUAGAUGUUCGAAUCAUCUUAGACUUA